rnacentral:lncRNA from 1 species
CAGUAAGAACAACUAGAUGAAGAAUUAGUUAAAUCACUCUAACAACAAUUCACAUUAGCAAACCAUAAAUCAACAUUUGAAGAACCCCGAAUCUAACAAUAAGACUACUCAGACAUAUUUGUAAGAAACAUUAUGAUGGUCUGGAUAAUACUGCAAUAGAAUAAAUGAAAAACAAAGUAGAGUAGAGAAACAAAUGGAGUUCAACAUCUUCUCUCAAAUGAUGUUCAGAUCUCUCUCUCCAAUCCUAAGAUCUCUCUCUCUCUCUCUAGAUAUGAGGUGUGCCUCCCCAAACAAGCGUAAAAUAAGUCUCUCUC